GACGAACGCUGGCGGCGUGCUUAACACAUGCAAGUCGAACGGAAAGGCCCUGCUUUUGUGGGGUGCUCGAGUGGCGAACGGGUGAGUAACACGUGAGUAACCUGCCCUUGACUUUGGGGUAACUUCAGGAAACUGGGGCUAAUACCGGAUAGGAUCUCCUGCUGCAUGGUGGGGGUUGGAAAGUUUCGGCGGUUGGGGAUGGACUCGCGGCUUAUCAGCUUGUUGGUGGGGUAGGGGCUUACCAAGGCUUUGACGGGUAGCCGGCCUGAGAGGGUGACCGGCCACCAUGGGACUGAGAUACGGACCAGAGUGCUACGGGAGGCAGCAGUGGGGAAUAUUGCACAAUGGGCGGAAGCCUGAUGCAGCAACGCCGCGUGUGGGAUGACGGCCUUCGGGUUGUGAAAAGCUUUCGCCUGUGACGAAGCGUGAGUGACGGUAAUGGGUAAAGAAGCACCGGCUAACUACGUG
rnacentral:rRNA from 1 species